UCGGGAAUUUUGGGCAAUGGGCGAAAGCCUGACCCAGCAACGCCGCGUGAGGGAUGAAGUAUUUCGGUAUGUAAACCUCGAAAGAAUGGGAAGAAUAAAUGACGGUACCAUUUAUAAGCUCCGGCUAACUACGUGCCAGCAGCCGCGGUAAUACGUUGGGAGCAAGCGUUGUUCGGAUUUACUGGGCGUAAAGGGCGCGUAGGCGGCGCGGUAAGUCACUUGUGAAAUCUCUGAGCUUAACUCAGAACGGCCAAGUGAUACUGCUGUGCUAGAGUGCGGAAGAGGCAACCGGAAUUCUUGGUGUAGCGGUGAAAUGCGUAGAGAUGUGGAGGAACACCGAUGGCGAAGGCAGCCCCCUGGGCCUGUACUGACGCUCAUGCACGAAAGCGUGGGGAGCAAACA
rnacentral:rRNA from 1 species